ACUUGCUAAGGUAGAUUCAUGUUUGACUUUACACUCAAGAUCAAGGAGCUAGAAGGAUGGUGGUUUCAGACCUGUUGUUAGCUGCAGAAAGGCUCAAAAGUGAGAAGAAGUUUCUUAGCAAUAUGAUUAUCAAACUAGUUGGGGAGAACCAGCAGCUAUUGAGAGAAAACAAGCAAUUUAGAGAACAGAUCAGAAGGCUGCAAUACCCACAGCGAUGUACGAAAAGACCAUUGGAGAAGAUGAAGAUGGAUGGUGGAAUGAAGAUCAAGAAGCCACAGGCAAUCAAGGAUCAGCAG